rnacentral:pre_miRNA from 1 species
UUUUUAGUGUAAGUUUAUCCCAUGAAAUAUUUGGGAUAUACUUGUACUAAAA